rnacentral:sRNA from 1 species
UGAUUCCUAUAUACCCCCCACCCCCAAACUUCGUUUUUUUUUUUUAAAAGUAUUAAGUUAAUUGUUAACCAAUGACGGUGGUAUCGUGAAGGGUUUACUGUCGGCCAUUGCCUUUGAUUUAUUACUAAAAUUUGUCAUGUAUAUUCUUCUCAAAAAGAUCAAUAAAUUGAUGAAUUUCCUUUGUAAAAAAUGGUAUUAUAAUACUGAACUACACAUGUACAAGAUUUCAGAAUAAAGAGGUUUCACCUG